UUUUAACAGUGUCAAUAGACAUAGUUUUUGCGAUCGUUUUAAAAUCAAUCAAGAAAGAUCAUUUCUAUAGAAAACACUGUUAGACUGAAAGGUACAGUGGAUUAGUUUUUCUCUGCAUAAAUGGAACCUCAAAACCUUGAGUUUUUGCGUGAGAGUUCUAAUUUUUUCUCAAAACCUCCUGCGUUAACAUUAUUACAUGAUGAUUUCUACUUUAAUAAAAAUAUUUCUGCGCCACCUAAUUGCGUGGAAACAAAUGAACCUAACCAAGAUAGUGUAACGAAAAAUGAAUCAGUCAACUCAACGUUCUCAGAAGUCAAAACUGAAACUGUACCGUUAUCGAAUGAAAAUUCUAACACAACGGAAAAGGUUGAUGUUGUCAGUACGAAAAAAAAUUCCAUUCCAUACGAUGUUGAAUCAGAAAAUUAUGUUAUAGAACAAGCGAAAAAAGAAUUUAAUACAAUUUUACGCCAGAUACCUAUUCAGCUUUUAUUUCGAUCUUGUUUGUCAAGGCCUGCCAUUUGUCACGAAGACGAGCUUUGGUUCCAUAGACAAGAAGAUGUUGUUUUAUCCAAUCUUGCCAAACGUCCUUGGGAAGAAAAGCCAGAACUUUCUGGUUUAUAUAAUCUUUUGAAAAGUGUUCCUUCAACUACUAGCGUUUAUUAUGAGUUAUGUGCAAAACGUUUAAGUCAAGGAGUAAUUAAAUGUCGUAAUUUUGUUAGCAAAGAAAAAGAAGAUCAUAUGUUAGAAACACGCUCGUUAUUAGAAAAACAUGGUAUAAUGCGCGAUGUGGAAGAGCUUCGAACUAGAGAGAAUAGUCUUUCAAUUAUGAAAAUAACCUUAGAGUCAAGAAAUGUUUUUCUUUUAACAGGAGGAAAAGUAUAUCCAUUACCGCAGCUCGUUAAAUUUCCAACACCGACGAAUGUUUACCCUUCGGAUUCUCGAUCAAUUUUUUGGAGUUGCCUAAUGUUUCCAUUAAAUCAUAUGAAAAAGGUUUUUGAAAAACUGCAACCACCUGUACUGUAUUUGCCCUCUUACGAUCAAACUGCUACGACGGAUGAAAUUAAAAAAUAUUGUGGCUUACCCUGUUUACAAUUCCCCAUUGCCGUUGCUAAUUAUUUUGCCUUAGCUGUCGAAUUAAAAGUAAAAGUCACAAUGUCGGCCUUAAUUAAAAAAAUCACCGCCAACGCUACACCUGAAACGAAAUGUGUAAUAACUAUGGAUACUAUUCGAGAAGCGUAUGCAAUCAUCACUUCUUCUAGAUAGCACGUUAAAAGAUUUCCCGUGGGAUAAACCUCACGUUAUGAGAGAAUGUCGUUUUCAUUAUAUAGAACGAAAUAUUAAACGUUUAAGGCCCGAGGACACUCCUACCCCGAAUGAGAAGGAAUCAGACAUAAAAGUCACGGAAGAUCUAAUUAACAACACUCUAUCAUAGAUGUGUGGUUUUUUUUUUCAGAAGAAACAGAAAUUAAUUUUGAUAUUUCCAUUUAAAUAAACAUACCAGUUUUUCUGUGUGUCAUUUUUUUUUUUCUAAUUUACAAUGUGAACUCAGCAACCUUUAAUUUUUGAAACAUGCAACCACGACAUGCACCCAUGGAAGCACCGUGGUGUGCACAGUCUAGUACAUAGUUUUCCUAAAAGUGUAUCCUUGCGGGAGGAGCGCUGUCGUUGCACGUGACGCUUUGCGGAUGCGCGAUUAUUGCUAGUUGAAAACUACUCCAAUUCCAGUCUAAGAUGCUUAUUGUAUUCUUAGCAAUUUUUGAGGCUUCCGAGCUAACAAUAUAAAAUUUCACUUUCAAUUUAAUCAAAUUUUUUUGUAUUGAUGUUAUUGUUGUUCUGCUAGUUUUAA